rnacentral:rRNA from 1 species
CCUACGGGUGGCAGCAGUCGAGAAUCAUUCACAAUGGGGGAAACCCUGAUGGUGCGACGCCGCGUGGGGGAAUGAAUGUCUUCGGAUUGUAAACCCCUGUCAUGUGGGAGCAAAUUAAGAAGAUAGUACCACAAGAGGAAGAGACGGCUAACGCUGUGCCAGCAGCCGCGGUAAUACAGAGGUCUCAAGCGUUGUUCGGAAUCACUGGGCGUAAAGGGUGCGGAGGCUGUUUCGUAAGUCGUGUGUGAAAGGCGCGGGCUCAACCCGCGGACGGCACAUGAUACUGCGUGACUCGAGUAAUGGAGGGGGAACUGGAAUUCUCGGUGUAGCAGUGAAAUGCGUAGAUAUCGAGAGGAACACUCGUGGCGAAGGCGGGUUCCUGGACAUUAACUGACGCUGAGGCACGAAGGCCAGGGGAGCGAAAGGGAUUAGAUACCCCUGUAGUC